ensembl:lncRNA
CAUCCACGCUUCAAAAUUGUGUUUUAAUUAAAAACGGAUAACAUUUUUACCCAAGCAGUACUUUACUUCCUUUUCUUAAAUGUGCCACACAUAGAAAAAUCAAAAGAAUCAACUUCUCUUUAGAGACCAAUACAAUGCAUAAUUAUUCUUUGUAAGGGGUUUGAUAUGAAAGACUUUCCUCUUUUCUCCUGCAUUAGUUAUACUACGCGCAAUGAACAAUAUUCACAACUAUGUACAUUCAGACAUAAGUCUCAAUUAACAAACAUCAUCCACCAAAACAAAGGAAAGCAAAAAAAAAUACUUCAAAAGUAAAAAGAUAGAAAAAAGCUAAAAUUAAACAAUAUAUUUCUCUUUAAAAAAUAUACUUGAUAAAGAGUUUUACAAUGAAAAUAUGAGUUAAAUUAUGAUUGCUUUAUUAUUACUAUCAAUUAACUGUAGGCACAUUGUAGAUAAGUGAGGCGUUGUUCAACUGGAUUCUCUGGGAGGGUAGAGAUGCCCGAGGCUGCCGCCAUUAUGGUGAUUACGUGACCAUGCAGCCACCAUUUUGAAAAGGUCGUGGUUGACACUUGUGUAAACAAAAACACUUGCGAACCAGCAGCCUGUGUAAUAAUCAGCUAGUGCCCAACAACCCCCUUUUAACCUCACCCCAAUAACAGUACGGUACAAAAUAAACAGUUGUGUGGCAACACAGCAUCAGGAGGCUCAAUGAGCUCGGGUUGGAAGAGAUAUAUAAAGACAUAUUAUGCUUUGACAAAAAGGGUAUUCUUUGGCAUACACGAUCCGUUGGAUUUCCUUUUCAAUUAUGCCACAUACGAAAAACUCCAACAGAAAUAACAUGGAUCCCCAAUAACUAAAUAACGCCACAACAGAAACAUUCAUCCAAGUCAUCUCAAGGAAGCCAUUUUAAAAUAAAGAGCUUUCGUAUUUGAUCAGGACUAUUUAAAGAACAAAACAAAAAGAAUAAAAACGACUAUCUAGAAGAAAUUAAAAUAGCAUGGUUCACACGUUUGUGAUGAGAACAAAUCCCAGAAAGCUCACACACCGAUCUGACCGCAACCAAUCACAUCACCACAUCAGAACCACACGCUAACCUCAACGUGCCAUGUGAUUUGGGACAAACAUCCAGAGAUGUGAUUGGUGGAGGUAAUGCACAUGGAGGUCACGAAACAUCAUCCUGAGUCUCCUAGAUCAGUCAUCCACCACCAGGCCAAUAAACAUGCACAGCUAGAGGAUGACUACAGCACAUUCAAUGCAGACUACCAAGCUACCAUAAUAAACUGGUGUGUGUGUGUGUGUGUGUGUGUGCACACUGUACAAUGGCCUUCAUCACACACUGCUGAUGUGGCUACCAGAAGCAGGAAAAUACUAAGCCGAUGCAUUUCCUUAUAAUCUACAACAUAGAACACAGCCAAAGUCAAGACCCUUUCAAAACCCCCCAUGAAUACAUUAUCACCAAUACAUUAUCACUGUCAUGCAUUCAGAAAGCUCCACGGUGGGCGGCCAUUUUUCUCCUAGUGGUCUACCAUUCUUUUAUAAUAUUUUACUUGUGGGAUUUUGGUCAAAAACGAUUACACAGGUGAAUGUGGAUAAAAGGCAGUUUGAGGGUUGACCACUGGAAGUGUCCCCCUGCCAUUAACAACAACCACAAGUGCCAUUAAGACCCAGAGCCUACCUGUGAACACACCCACACACAACACCCAGAUGAACACACAAACUUCACCUGCCCUGUCGAUGUGUGAAUGUGACACUGCGUAAGUCUCACGGAGGUGUUGCCAGGGUAACCCUGUACGACUGUUUUAAGUGAAGGAUAUAUUGCCAGAAAGAUGACCCCCCCCCCCCCAUCUUCACAGAAAAAAGCUGUGGAUAGGAAGCCGCUGAGAAUCUAGCUCAGAACAGAGCAGCUGAGGACUCUACUCUCCCUCUCCUCUUCUCUCUGUCACUUUCUCUCUCCAUCUCCUCUUUUCUUCUCCUCAUCCUCCCCCUCUCUCUCUUUCUCUCUCUCUGGAUGGUGACAAAUGAGAGGUUCAGGAGUCUCCAUAGAAAUGUCCUGUCAGUUCCUGGGCUGCAACGGUACUAGUAUUUUUAGUUCUGCUCCACAUUCUCCACAUAGAGAGACAGAGGGUACCAGGGUACCAGGGGACCAGGCAAGGUGACCUCUAAAACCAACGUGGAUUUUGUGUAUAAAAAAAACAGAAACAAAAGAAACAAAAAUCUCCUGAAGUGUAGAAUUUGGCACACACAUUGUCCUUUAGCACAGGGGCUGUUCCAGAACCUUCACGUAAACAGAUCCUAAACAUCACACUGUAAGCCAGGCUUGUCACCCCCUCCGAUGAAGCCCAUAUGAACUGUACCUAUGGCGACUUAUCGUAGUCCAGAGAUGCACGGACCGACCUGUAAAAUAUUGGACUGUUGGCUUUUUAGACAUAAUCGAAUUCUACGCCCAGCUCAAGCUGUGAACAACAGAAUAGAAGACGUAUACAGAGAGGGUUGUCUGGGAUAUCUGGAGGGAUGUCUGUUUGGGCUGUGUAUCCCCGACAGACAGAGGUCCAAGAGAAACACCAACAGGAACUAAACUACACCCUGAAUUAACCUUAAGGCAAAAGGAUAACAACACAGCAGUGAUUUGUUACCAAGUGACUAGUUAAAGAGAGGACAGGGGAGGGUUAAAGAGAGGACAGGGGAGGGUUAAAGAGAGGACAGGGGAGGGUUAAAGAGAGGACAGGGGAGGGGUAAAGAGAGGACAGGGGAGGGGUAAAGAGAGGACAGGGGAGGGGUAAAGAGAGGACAGGGGAGGGGUAAAGGGAGGACAGGGGAGGAGUAAAGAGAGGACAGGGGAGGAGUAAAGAGAGGACAGGGGAGGGGUAAAGAGAGGACAGGUGGGGGAGGGAGAAGUGAGUUGUGUGGUUUCAGGGAUUAUUCAGUGUGUUUGUCUUCAUUUCUCUCUCCCUCCCUCUUUCUCACCCUUCAUCCCUCUUUCUGAACUGUCAGAGAAAAGACAUGAAGAUGUCACGCCCGUUCCAAGUCGCUAUCCGUCUUUUUCCUCCUCCUCGGUACAGUCUCCCCCAACGUACUCAAGGGGAGGUGUUGAGCAGCCUGGUGGAUUUAUUGGGGUAAUUGAUUGCCAGGCUGAUGGCAGCGAUGUUCUUCAGAGCCUGCACAGUAAAACAGGAUACCAAGGUGAGUGAAUGAAUAAGGGAAAGAGAGAAGGGGAUGAGGGAGAGGACAUGAUAAAAAAAGGGGAUGAGGGAGAGGGUGAAACAGACAAAGGGGGUGAGGGAGAGGAUGUAACAGACAAAGGGUGUGAGGGAGAGGAUGUAACAGACAAAGGGGAUGAGGGAGAGGAUGUAACAGACAAAGGGGAUGAGGGAGAGGAUGUAACAGACAAAGGGGAUGAGGGAGAGGAUGUAACAGACAAAGGGGUGAGGGAGAGGGAAUGACGAGGGGGUGAGGCAGCACGACUAACAGCAAGAGUGUGAGAGUGAAGGACAGAUAGAGGAGUUAAUUACAAUCUUUAAGCAGUAAGUUCACUGAGGUAUGAGAACUCCUUUGUGAUGUUCUAUAUGAAGGACAACAUUUCACCUCUUGUUCAAUGUAAAGGACAACAUUUCAC